rnacentral:rRNA from 1 species
AGUGAACGCUGGCGGUAGGCCUAACACAUGCAAGUCGAACGGCAGCACAGUAAGAGCUUGCUCUUACGGGUGGCGAGUGGCGGACGGGUGAGGAAUAUAUCGGAAUCUACUUUUUCGUGGGGGAUAACGUAGGGAAACUUACGCUAAUACCGCAUACGACCUACGGGUGAAAGCAGGGGAUCUUCGGCCCUUGCGCGAUUGAAUGAGCCGAUGUCGGAUUAGCUAGUUGGCGGGGUAAAGGCCCACCAAGGCGACGAUCCGUAGCUGGUCUGAGAGGAUGAUCAGCCACACUGGAACUGAGACACGGUCCAGACUCCUACGGGAGGCAGCAGUGGGGAAUAUUGGACAAUGGGCGCAAGCCUGAUCCAGCCAUACCGCGUGGGUGAAGAAGGCCUUCGGGUUGUAAAGCCCUUUUGUUGGGAAAGAAAAGCAGCAGGUUAAUACCCCGCUGUUCUGACGGUACCCAAAGAAUAAGCACCGGCUAACUUCGUG